UUCCAAACAGACUGCACAAGGGGGGCUACCGAUUCACCCCUGUCAUACACUGUCCUCGGUGCCGCUCAAGGCACACAAAGUGCACCACAAGUGUUUUUUGGGAACGAGAGGCCGAGUGCUGGUUCAUCAGCUCUUGCCAUGACAUCGAGAGCUAAGACGCACUGCAGUGCGGACCAGCUCCACUUCGCGGCAGAUGAGCAUUUCAGCA